GACGAACGCUUGCGGCGUGCUUAACACAUGCAAGUCGAACGGUAAGGCUCCAGCUUGCUGGGGUACACGAGUGGCGAACGGGUGAGUAACACGUGGGUGACCUGCCCUGCACUUCGGGAUAAGCCUGGGAAACUGGGUCUAAUACCGGAUAGGACCGCACCGUGAGGGUGUGGUGGAAAGUUUUUUCGGUGUGGGAUGGGCCCGCGGCCUAUCAGCUUGUUGGUGGGGUAAUGGCCUACCAAGGCGGCGACGGGUAGCCGGCCUGAGAGGGUGGACGGCCACAUUGGGACUGAGACACGGCCCAGACUCCUACGGGAGGCAGCAGUGGGGAAUAUUGCACAAUGGGCGGAAGCCUGAUGCAGCGACGCCGCGUGGGGGAUGACGGCCUUCGGGUUGUAAACUCCUUUCACCAUCGACGAAGGGUUUCUGACGGUAGAUGGAGAAGAAGCACCGGCUAACUACGUGCCAGCAGCCGCGGUAAUACGUAGGGUGCGAGCGUUGUCCGGAAUUACUGGGCGUAAAGAGCUCGUAGGUGGUUUGUCGCGUCGUCUGUGAAAUUCCGGGGCUUAACUCCGGGCGUGCAGGCGAUACGGGCAUAACUUGAGUACUGUAGGGGAGACUGGAAUUCCUGGUGUAGCGGUGAAAUGCGCAGAUAUCAGGAGGAACACCGGUGGCGAAGGCGGGUCUCUGGGCAGUAACUGACGCUGAGGAGCGAAAGCAUGGGGAGCGAACAGGAUUAGAUACCCUGGUAGUCCAUGCCGUAAACGGUGGGCGCUAGGUGUGGGUUUCCUUCCACGGGAUCCGUGCCGUAGCUAACGCAUUAAGCGCCCCGCCUGGGGAGUACGGCCGCAAGGCUAAAACUCAAAGGAAUUGACGGGGGCCCGCACAAGCGGCGGAGCAUGUGGAUUAAUUCGAUGCAACGCGAAGAACCUUACCUGGGCUUGACAUAUACAGGAUCGCGCCAGAGAUGGUGUUUCCCUUGUGGCUUGUAUACAGGUGGUGCAUGGUUGUCGUCAGCUCGUGUCGUGAGAUGUUGGGUUAAGUCCCGCAACGAGCGCAACCCUUGUCUUAUGUUGCCAGCACGUUGUGGUGGGGACUCGUAAGAAACUGCCGGGGUUAACUCGGAGGAAGGUGGGGAUGACGUCAAAUCAUCAUGCCCCUUAUGUCCAGGGCUUCACACAUGCUACAAUGGUCGGUACAGUGGGUUGCCAGUCCGUGAGGGCGAGCUAAUCCCGCAAAGCCGGUCUCAGUUCGGAUCGGGGUCUGCAACUCGACCCCGUGAAGUCGGAGUCGCUAGUAAUCGCAGAUCAGCAACGCUGCGGUGAAUACGUUCCCGGGCCU
rnacentral:rRNA from 1 species